rnacentral:rRNA from 1 species
GUAGGGAAUAUUGGGCAAUGGAAGGAAUUCUGACCCAGCCAUGCCGCGUGCAGGAAUACAGUCCUAUGGACUUUAAACUGCUUUUAUUAUAGAGUAACCUGGGGGACGUGUCCCCCACUGCAAGUAUAUAAUGAAUAAGCAUCGGCUAACUCCGUGCCAGCAGCCGCGGUAAUACGGGGGAUGCAAGCGUUAUCCGGAUUUAUUGGGUUUAAAGGGUGCGCAGGCUGAUCGGUAAGUCAUGGGUGAAAAGUCACUGCUUAACAGUGAUCGUGCCUAUGAUACUGCCGGACUAGAGUUUAAGAGGUGUAACUGGAAUGUGAUGUGUAGCGGUGAAAUGCUUAGAUAUGUCACAGAACGCCAAUCGUGAAGACAGGUUACAAACUUAAUACUGACGCUCAUGCACGAAAGCGUGGGGAUCAAACAGGAUUAGAUAUCCCGGUAGUCC